rnacentral:rRNA from 1 species
CCACUUGGCUGGGCCCCCCUCCCCCACCCCCCCACCACACACUCUCUCACUCUCUCCCCGAGCUUUGCCCCCUCUCCCACUCUCCCCCCCUCUCAAAUCUUCUUCCAAAUCUUGCAAAUUUGAAGAAUUUGUCCGUGGAUUUCGAAGUCAAACCCUCCCUCAAGGUAUGGCGGCUUCCCAACCCAACAAACCAACGAUGAAGGAGGAUGGCGAAGAUGAGAUGGCCGGAUGGUGGGAGAAGGCGGCGAAGAAGCUUAGAGAGGAGGAUGCAGCCAAGCUAAAGAAGAAGAAGGAAGAGGAGCUUGAGAAGGAGAGGAAGGGAAAACAGAGUGCGGAAAAUGCGAUGCGCGCUAGGGAGCAAGCGUUGAUGAGGCAAGUUGAGGAGGCACAGAAGAAGCG